rnacentral:rRNA from 1 species
CCCUUAGAUGUCCUGGGCCGCACGCGCGUUACACUGAUGCAUUCAACGAGCUUAUAACCUUGGCCGAGAGGCCUGGGCAAUCUUGUUAACGUGCAUCGUGAUAGGGAUAGAUUAUUGAAAUUAUUAAUCUUGAACGAGGAAUUCCUAGUAAACGCAGAUCAUCAAUCUGCAUUGAUUACGUCCCUGCCCUUUGUACACACCGCCCGUCGCUCCUACCGAUUGGAUGGUCCGGUGAACUGGUCGGACUGCUGUUUGAAAUUGCGGGUGCAGUUGAUUCACGGGAAGUCUAGUAAACCUUAUCAUCUAGAGGAAGGAGAAGUCGUAACA